AUCGCUUCUCGGCCUUCUGGCUAAGAUCAAGUGCAGUAUCUGUUCAUGUCAGUUUAAUAACUUAGCUACCCCAGCCAAGUGACUCUGAAUUCCAUUUAGUUUAAGAUCCCCU
rnacentral:snRNA from 1 species